GCUAGGCUGGAUAUAAACUGAAAUGCUGCUCCACUAGUUAUUUAUACAAAGCUAGCUAUUCUGGAAGAUUCAUAGGAAUUGGAAGUUGGUUUACUUUUGAUUCUUACUGUUCUUUUGACUUUUAGGGCUGUCAGACUACUGAAAACCAUCUAGACCUUCAUCCACAGGCAGGUCAUAUGUGUCAAAUGGGUGUGAAAUGCUGACUAAAACUACAGACUUAUCUUUGACUGAUCAAGCUUGAAGUUUGGGAUCACACAUCAGAAAUUUGUGUCCAAAUCUUACAUCUCCAGUGUGGGCUGAGCCUCUUCAGAUGGCAGCUGAUAUCGCAGCCACCACAAACACUGGCAGGAGGUUGACAAUGGAAAGUAAUAGCAGGAAAAAUGGAUUUUUCUCAACAUGUUGAAUAGACUGCCAAAAUCUCUUUGCAAUCCACCUGCAGUCUGGAGACUGGCCAUUGCAGAGAAACCAAAGUUAAAUAACCAACUAUGGACUUUAUAUGCUAAAAAUAAAACAGCCCAGAAGAAAAAAAAAAUUUAAAUCUUAUGAUCAAACUUAUAAUAAUAAUAGAAAUGUUUGAUUACUUCCUCUGAUUAACUUUCUCCAUUAAAUGUUAUGCCUUCUCUGGAGUAAUUGUAAUGGAUGGUGAUAGAUGCUGGUAUUGAAAUUUAGUUUUUUUUCUGUCAGAAACUUAUCCUUAAGGCCUUCUAGCUAGCAACUCUUUUGAUGUGUUAACAGCCCACAGCUCUCAUCUCAGAGACUCUUCAAUGCAGUGUGCACUUCUUGAAUAAAAACUUAUUGUACAAUC